rnacentral:rRNA from 1 species
UUCCAGACUCCUACGGGAGGCAGCAGUGGGGAAUAUUGCACAAUGGGGGAAACCCUGAUGCAGCGACGCCGCGUGAGCGAUGAAGUAUUUCGGUAUGUAAAGCUCUAUCAGCAGGGAAGAAGAUGACGGUACCUGACUAAGAAGCCCCGGCUAACUACGUGCCAGCAGCCGCGGUAAUACGUAGGGGGCAAGCGUUAUCCGGAUUUACUGGGUGUAAAGGGAGCGUAGACGGCGAUGCAAGCCAGAUGUGAAAGCCCGGGGCUCAACCCCGGGACUGCAUUUGGAACUGUGUGGCUGGAGUGUCGGAGAGGCAGGCGGAAUUCCUAGUGUAGCGGUGAAGUGCGUAGAUAUUAGGAGGAACACCAGUGGCGAAGGCGGCCUGCUGGACGAUGACUGACGUUGAGGCUCGAAAGCGUGGGGAGCAAACAGGAUUAGAUACCCCAGUA